AAGAAAAAGAAUGGUUAAUAUUUACAGUUCUUUCUUUUUGAAAGAAUUUUAAAAAAUGUAACAUAUAUACAUCCUGCGGCUUUAUGUAUUCCUAACAGAUAUAAUUAAUAUUAUUAAAUAAUUUGUUUAGGAAUGGAAAAAAAUUAUACUGCAAUUUUGAACAAUUUAUUUCACAGUGAAUCAUGAUAGCAAAAUUUCUGCGCAGUAUAGCGCGCAUAUCUCAUAUAAAAUUCUAUAGUAACCAAUCAACGAACAGUAUAAAUUUGUGUAAGUAUAGUAACGUAACUGAUUUUAUAGGAGUUCAAAUGUUAUUCAUAGUUGAAUUGCGGAACUGUGUGUUUCGUGUUAUAUUAUAUUCAAUAUUCACAUGUGACUUUAUAUUAAAAUAUUAUUUAAUAUUAUAAUGUAAUGUAUAUUUUAUAAUGUAAUGUGUGUUAAAUGAAGUAUAUAAAUGUAUUAUAUAUAUAUGUAUAUAUAUAUAUAUAUUUGAUUAUUAAAAAUUUUAAAAAGAAGAAAUGGAUAUAUAUAUGAAUGCACGUGUUCGCAAAAAUGUAUAACAUUACAUAUUAAUCACUAAUCAUUUUAUUUGAGAGUUCUGUAAGGCAGAAAUGCAGUUUAGUGACUCAAUACUGAUGACGAAAACUUUCUUAGUGUAUUUUUUGAUGAUUUUGAACUCUCUUUUGAUGUAGCGUUGAAAACUAUCUGGAUGUUGACACUGAAUUUUAUGAAACUGAAUUCAGAACCAUAUUAAUGAGGAUACUGUUUCUUAUUUUGAAUCUAUGGAUAAAGAUCAGAAGUGUAAGAAAGAUGUUUGAUAGAUGAAGUUUUUUGAAAAUUGAUGCAGGAAAAUAGAAAUAAUUUUUGUAUCUAUUGUACAAAAGUGAAAAUCUAAUGGGUUAUUCGAGUGAAGAUAAAGAAAAUGGUCAGCAAAAUAUUCGUACCAUUGAUUAUUUAAAUUUAAGUAAAAGUAGUUGCUUUGUAAAUGUGUAAUGUUCAUAAAUGUGCAAGACAAGCAGCUAUAUCAAGCAUUCAAUCAAGCAGUAAUGAUUCUGACAUAACAGAGAAUUAAUAAAAUUAGAAUGCAAAGAAUAGAAUUAAUCAAAAACAUCAAUGUAGUUACUUAUUUAUCAAUAAUAAUUUUUUUUGCAUCAAUAGACCUUUUUGCACCAUUUUAACUAGGCUUUGCAUCAUUAAAUUGAAAUAGAAUCAUUGAGACAAUGACAACAUGUAAUCAAAACGCUUUUAACAAUAACUAAAUAUUCUUCAAUUGUAAUUGAAGAUGAACUUGAAGUGAACAAUGUUGCAAAGAUAAUAAAAAAAGAACAUAAUAAAAAAUAAUAGUUUUAAUAACCAUAUUAUAUGAAUAUAUUAUGAAUAUAUUGAGAAAAUUUGGAAACAUUGAACAGAUAAUACAGGACGAUACUGUGACGAUAAUGCCAUUUUUUUGAGAGAAGAAUUUGAAAGAUCUUUGGAAUUGUAUAUUUAUUAGAAAUACUUCGGCAUGGCUGAAUUGUAAACGUAGAAACGACAUUUUCCAUUCAUGCUUGAGAAGAAUUAUUGCAAACAUUUCUUAGUUUCCUGAAAACAGAGAACUCUUUAGAGUGGCGUAGCGUUAGUUUGAUUCUAGGAAUUUUCCUUGGAUUGAUCAAUUAGAAGACUGAUUCAUAAUGUUAUUGGCCAUUUGUGUACCGCAUUGAAGAUCCUCGAGAUGAACACGAAGAAGUUUUAGAAGAUACGAAGAGAUUUUAGAAGAUACGAGCUUUUGAGAGAACUUUCGAAGUUCAAAACUGUUUGAAUCUUAGAAUUCUUUCAAAAUCAGAAUUAUUUGAACUGUUUGAAUUUCAGAAUUUUUAUAAUUUUAAAACUUCUUAAAUGUCAAAACUUUACAUCUUAGAAUCUUCCGGAAUCUUAAAUCUUAUAACCUAAAACAGAACUUUAGAACGUUGUGAAUCAAAUAAUAAACGUAAACGUUCAUUAGCAUAUAAACUUUGCUCUUAAUCCGUUCAGAAUAGAACUUUGUAAUAAAUUAAUUUUAUUAUUAUAUACCAUAAUUCUAAUAGAUUAGAGCAGCUAACAGCUUUACGAUUAGAUUCCAAAAAGAACAUUUUAGAAUAAACGAAAAACGAUAUAUCAAAAUUAUAAUAUACAUUUUAUUUUUUCUUAAUUUUUAAUUUCAUAUUUAUCAAAAUAAUUAUUCAAAUAAUAUAUCUAUGAUAAAAUUAUUAUUGAAAAACAAAAAAUUGGUUUUUAAUAUAAUAAAAGAAAGCUAUUGCCAAAAGACUUUAAAAAGAGAAGAAAAUGAAAAGAAAAUUUAAAGAAAAAAGAUAAUUAAAAAAUUGUUAUAAAUACUUUUAAUUCUUUCGCUUCUAAUAGUCGACAACAUCGUGAACUAAUUUAUACAUAGCUUCUUAGUUCCGCAUCAAAUACAAUAGAAGGAAUAACUCGAACAAAUUGGAACCAUAUUUAUUCAUCUUUCGUUUUUUGAACUUGAAUUUUGAACUUUCGACUAUCAUAGAGCAAUAAUUUAAAAAAAAUAUUAUAAAUUUUAUGAAUUUUGCGAAUUAUUGUAAAUAUAAAUUGAUAUUAUCGUAAAAAUUUUCUGAAAGGUUUGAAAUUAUGUAUCAAGAAUUCUCUAAAUUUAAAAUGAAUGAAAAUUGCAAACUAUUGGAUUUUUCAAAAAGUAAUUUCGUUUUUUCACACGAAUUGAAUAUGGCUAAUUGAAUGUUUAGCCAACUUCAUUCUAAACCAUGUUGUUAUUUUAUAUUUUGAGAGUUGGUUGGAUAAUUUCAUGAUUUAUUUAUAAGAAAAAUUUGUUUGAUUCUGUGCGGUUGUGUUUUUUCGUGUGUGAUAAUAAAGAUGUAAGACCAAAAGAAGUAUAUUUACUUUUGGCAUAUUUUAUUUUUUUAUUACAGAAAAAAUAAGAAUAUUAUUUAGGUAAGAAAAAAGUUAUAUGAAGUGUAUAGAGAAAAUGUAUUAACAAUACGAAAAUGUAAAAAUUGGUUUUUAAAAUUUUGUUCCGAUAAUAUCAACAUUGAUUGAAAAAAACUGACUAAUAACAACUCGAGAAAUUGAAUUAUGAGAUUGAAUUUGUCGAAUUCGAUUGUUUAUGAUCACAUGAAACGACUUGGCUUCAUUUCGAAGCUUUGUUCCAUAUAUUCUCAAAAAAAGAGAUUUACUCCAUCGUAUUGAUAUCUGCGAUUUGCUGCUUAAACGUGAGGAAAAUGAUCCAUUUUUAAAACAAAUCGUGAAUGGAGAUGAAAAAUGGAUCGUUUACGACAAUGUUAAACAAAAACGAUCACGGAGCAAUAGAGAUAAGCUGGCGCAAAGCAAAUCGCAAUUUGCCAAUAUUCAUUAAAAAAUUGAUACUAUCUUGUUUGAUCGGAUUUUAAGACAGUUGUUUUUUUUGAGCUUCUACCUAACAAUUACAUGAUUAAUUCGGAUAUAUUGCAAACAAUUGCACAAAUUAAACAAUUUCAUCAAAUAAAAGAGAUCUGAAUUAAUUAACAGGAAAGAUGUUUUAUCACAAUAACGCUAGAUUUCACAUGAAUUUAAUAAUUCAAGAAGUUCUCAUAGCUUAAAUGAGGUUCUAUCCCAUCCACUAUAUUCGCUAAAUCUGACACCCUCGAAUUACUAUCUGUUUCGAUCUUUAUAGAAUUUUUUAAAUGGCAAAACGUUUACUUUACAAAUGAGGAUGUUAAAAAUUAUUUGGCUUAAUUUUUUGUAAACAAUGAUUAAAAGUUUUACGAGGAAUUAUGCUACUAUCUAAAAGAUAGUAUUUUGGACCACGAUGAUUAAAAUGUAAUUAAAUAAAAUAUAUAUAUGCUAUUAAAAAACAGAAAUAAAUAAUUAUGUGAAUUAAUUAAAUUCAAAAUAUAAGGAAUAUUUUAUUCUUUGUUAAAACUUAUGCGUUGAUGAGUCAACUGUUGUUUUCAAGGCAAGAUAUUCCAAUAAUAUUAAAGAAAUAAAACAACCGAAAUGAUCAUCGAUUAUAACAAGUAUAUGGAUGAUAUUGAUGUAGCGAACCAAUAUACGACAUCAUAUUGUUUUUUACAUUAAACACUGAAGUGGAGAAAAUUUUUCUUUUGGAAACUUAAAAUCUUUUUAAUGAAUAUAUAUGCUUAUAUUUUGUAAAGAAAAAGUUAAAAAUAAAGGAAGAAAAUCAAUAAUCCACAGAAAAUUUCGCAAAAACAUUUUGUUGGGAUUUAUUAUAUGAUUCUAUAGUUUUAAACAUGAAAUUGGGAAAACCUGAAACAAGUGACGAAAACGAUCGUUUAGAUGGAAAGCCUCAUUUUAUUUUCUUAUGUCCAGAAAGAAAACACAAAGAUUGUAUAGUUUGUUCAAACCGAAAAAUAUUUGGAAGAAUAAAAAUCAAUUUUUUUUAUAAAAUGUGCAAAUGAAAAUUAAGUUUGCAUCCUGAAAAUUGUUUCGAAAGAUAUUAUAUAUUUAAAAUUACAAAAUCUGAAUAAAACGGAUUUAUAUAUAUA